rnacentral:tRNA from 1 species
UCCUCCGUGGCGCAAUUGGCUAGCGCGUCUGACUGUUAUCAUCACCAUGAAGCAAUCAGGAGGUUGACAGUUCAAGCCUGUCCGGGGGAG